UACGGGGGGGGCAAGCGUUGUUCGGAAUUACUGGGCGUAAAGGGCUCGUAGGCGGCCAACUAAGUCAGACGUGAAAUCCCUCGGCUUAACCGGGGAACUGCGUCUGAUACUGGAUGGCUUGAGUUCGGGAGAGGGAUGCGGAAUUCCAGGUGUAGCGGUGAAAUGCGUAGAUACCUGGAGGAACACCGGUGGCGAAGGCGGCAUCCUGGACCGACACUGACGCUGAGGAGCGAAAGCCAGGGGAGCAAACGGG
rnacentral:rRNA from 1 species